rnacentral:lncRNA from 1 species
GGCCGUUGGUUUUAAUCUUUUUGAUUGUUUCAAAUUUUGUGAUAAAGGCACACGGACACUUUUCUAAGCUUACUACAUUUGUGGGUUUUGCUCAUUGUUGAAUGCCGGUCUACGUUGAAUUAUAGUUGUUCACUAUUUACGCUUUUUUAUUUUUGUUUUAUUGUACUGAUGUACUGUUUGUAUUACUGUCUCAUUGAAACACUACCUACACCGGAGCACCUCAGAUCACUCUCAAUUUUUGGUGGGGUUCGAGUUGCUUAGUCUUUAAUUUUCUAUAUUGUGUCUUGUGUACUAUUAUUUGUCUAUAUGUCUUUUCUUUUUUAGCCGGUUUAUUUUUCGAUCUAUGAGUUUGAAUGUCUUUCUGGUAUCUUUCGACCCUCUUCUACACCUACAUUUAUUCAAAUAUACUUUUUUUUUCAUUUCUAUAAAACAAAAACAAAUUAAUAAUGGUUUGAUUUUUGUAUUUUUCUCAUAAUUCUGACUUUGCCGUCAGUAUACAUAAAUAAUAAACAUUUACAGACCCGUCUCUUAAACUCGGGAGAAAAGCAAAUGAUAGAUUCUGUCUUUUUUACAUAAAACAAAACAUGCACAAAAUCUAUUGUGUAUACAUGAAAACUAUAGUGUAUACACGAAAAAACAAUAAUAUAUACAAAACAAAUGAUUGUAUAUAAUAAUAUCAUAUGAUCUUUUGUCUGAAAAUUUAUCAAGAAUUAAUUCCCAGUGGAGAAGAGUCUGAACACUAUUGAGUUGUGAGCCACAAUCUAGAUCCAAUUGCCAAUCUUAAAAUUAAUAUUAACGGAGUUUGAUAAAAUAAAAAAAGAACUUUAUAAACUAGAAAAGGUUUCUCAUGAUGUUUUUUGCUAAUAUAUGACAAUCUUGCAAAAAACAUAAAUAAACGGACACAGAAAAUACAAUUUUGAGAGGAAUCCGACUAGAAAAGGUUCUGUCCUUCUUGAAAGCUGUUGUCCGCGGUCACUUCAAAGGGUACAAUUAUCAGACGGUUAAAACUUUCCUGUUAGCACAUGCAAUAUAAAUACAGGUUAUCCCCACUAAGACAAAUUUUAAUAACUACAUGUACUAAAAGUAACACGAUUUUAAUCUUAAGCUGUAUUAAAACAAAGAAAUAAUAACAAUCCUCUUAUAGGUUCUCUGAAACUUCUUACGAUAACGUGGAAGAUAAAGACAUUUAUUUCUAUUUGUAUUCAUGCCCGAUUGGGAAAAGAAGGCCCGGAUCUAAAGAUGGUGUGAAAGGGCUCUAUAGGGACCCGGCUUGAAAAGGCGACUUCCAGCGUAAUUUUCAUUAGUCAGUUUUACAUGCCUACCACCCCCCCCCCAAAAAAAAAAAAACAACAAAAAAAACGAAUAUAACGGUUAAUACCCAUUUUGUCAGCUGGCCACGGUUUCCCACAAAAGAAGCCAAUCUAACAUGAUUUGUAUUAGGUUAAUCAGAUUUUACUUCAAUAAAUUUUGGUUAAUCUUGAUUAUCAAAAAAUAUAGUAAUUCAAAAGUUAAGUUUGUAUAAAGGAACAAAAAGGAACAAGGAAAGGUCAAUACUAUUUAAAAUAGUACAGUUCAACGAGGAUAUCUUGAAGGGUUAAAUGAGUCCAGACAAAAGAUCAUAUUUCAUAAACAAUUAUGGCAUACGAAAUGUACAUGCAAUAUUUUUAAAUGU